AUUGAACGCUGGCGGCAGGCCUAACACAUGCAAGUCGAGCGGAUGAAGGGAGCUUGCUCCUGGAUUCAGCGGCGGACGGGUGAGUAAUGCCUAGGAAUCUGCCUGGUAGUGGGGGAUAACGUCCGGAAACGGGCGCUAAUACCGCAUACGUCCUGAGGGAGAAAGUGGGGGAUCUUCGGACCUCACGCUAUCAGAUGAGCCUAGGUCGGAUUAGCUAGUUGGUGGGGUAAAGGCCUACCAAGGCGACGAUCCGUAACUGGUCUGAGAGGAUGAUCAGUCACACUGGAACUGAGACACGGUCCAGACUCCUACGGGAGGCAGCAGUGGGGAAUAUUGGACAAUGGGCGAGAGCCUGAUCCAGCCAUGCCGCGUGUGUGAAGAAGGUCUUCGGAUUGUAAAGCACUUUAAGUCGGGAGGAAGGGCAGUAAGUUAAUACCUUGCUGUUUUGACGUUACCAACAGAAUAAGCACCGGCUAACUUCGUG
rnacentral:rRNA from 1 species